rnacentral:rRNA from 1 species
UGGGGAAUCUUGGACAAUGGGCGAAAGCCUGAUCCAGCCAUGCCGCGUGAGUGAAGAAGGCCCUAGGGUUGUAAACCUCUUUUCUCUGGGAAGAAGUUCUGACGGUACCAGAGGAAUCAGCAUCGGCUAACUCCGUGCCAGCAGCCGCGGUAAGACGGAGGAUGCAAGCGUUAUCCGGAAUUAUUGGGCGUAAAGCGUCCGUAGGCGGUUAUUUAAGUCUGCUGUCAAAGACCACAGCUCAACUGUGGGCGGGCGGUGGAAACUGGGUAACUAGAGUUCGGUAGGGGUAGAGGGAAUUCCCAGUGUAGCGGUGAAAUGCGUAGAUAUUGGGAAGAACACCAGUGGCGAAGGCGCUCUACUGGGCCGAGACUGACGCUGAUGGACGAAAGCUAGGGGAGCGAAAGGGAUUAGAUACCCCCGUAGUCC